CUCAUCAUUGUGUUCUAAACAGCACCCAUGCCCUUGAGGAUGGAGGUUGAGGCCCCAGAAGGAUCUGGAGACAGAGGCUGAGUCAAAGAGAGGCUGCGAUCCUAGGACUUCUUUUCAAGGAAGUUUCCCCAGAGAGAAAGACCAAAGGGGAGGAAAAACAAGAUUGCAGUGACUACGACAGCCAUGACAACAGUUCCCUCUCAAAUGUCUUCUCUCUUUUAUAAAAAGAAACUCUGCAACUGAUGCCUGCUAUUUAUUUAGGGGGCCUGCUGGAAGGUUCCUGAAUCUCCACUGAGAGUGUGUUCUUGGAAAACUCUAACAUUGCUCUGACAAGCUUGGACCAAGUUUGAAUUUAAAAAAAAAAAAAACAAAAAAACUUGUGGAAGGAGCACAGCAAAGGCAGGGAGAUUCUCAAAGGCUCUGAAAGGAGACAAGAGGCCCAGAAAGGUUAAUUAACUUGCCUGUAGGCACACAACU
rnacentral:lncRNA from 1 species